GGCUGUGAGGGUGAUCUGGCUGCAACAUCUGUCACCCCACUAAACACCAGGGUUGAUUUGGCUGGCUAGGCGGGUAUCCCCUUCCUCCCUCACAGCUCCAUGUGAAGCUUGCUCCCGAAGCUGCACACUUGGUCUAAGAGGACAGCCUUCCCCGAAUAGAGACGGACCGGUCUUCGGUCAAAGGUAUACGAAUAGCUGUGCUCCCCUGCUAGAACCUCCAAAACAAGCUCUUAAUUUCUCUGUCUCUAUCCAAAGCAAAGGAGGAAAAAAAAAAUCCAACUUUCUGAUUGAACAACUU
ensembl:misc_RNA 7SK 7SK RNA